GACAUGAGGUACCAACAGAUUUGUCAAGUCUUUUCAAAUUGUCGUUAUUAUCGACGUAUCCUUAAUUCUAGUACUAAAAAAAUACAAAAAAAACAAACUAACAUAAAAUUCCUGCGUGAUCAGUCGUCUUUUCAAUAUAAGAGUUUUCAGUAGGUGACGCUCAAAUUAAAUUCAUAUGUAAUUGUAGUGCUUUCGAUAUCUUGGUUUUGACAUUUAAAGAUUUCUAGUAUCAAAAUGGGUGUUCACUCUCUUAACAUAUAUUGUAGGAUGGUUUCAAAAUUUUCUAGAGCUGCAAUGAAUGAUUAUUUUAAGAUGGAAUACCUAACUCAUAUAUGAAUUCAUGCUAGUAAAUUUUUUUUUUCUAAAGUUAAAUGACAUUCGAUGUGUUGUAAAGUGAUACGUCAUUGUUGAGGAGACAAUUUUGUAAUGCAACAAGUUUUCCAUAGAUUUAAUUUGUUCACCCUUUAAUCAAGAUUUGAAGUAAGAAUUUUUGAAUAGUUUGUUAUUUACUGUCAACACAAAAUCAACAUGUAGCUAGAAACGUUUCUUAAAAUGUUUCUAGAAUGUCAUGUCAACAUGGACCUUUCGAUUCAUGUUUAUUCAUACAAAGAAAGCCGGUACUUUAUAAUUUUCACAAAAAAUGUGAAAAAGGAGUUAGAAUAACAUCGAAUGAGACAGGAACUUGUGAGUAAGAAUGGAUAUUAUUUAGGUAUUUUCUUCUUGUUAAAGUCCAACUCGACGCAGACUUGGACUUUGCGUUGAUCAAUCUUUCUUGGUUAGUUCUUACGAGAGGGAUCGCCUAAUAUUUUAGCUUGUAGUGCAUAACGUUAAACUUUAUUAAUUUGAAACUCUAGUAGAUUUUUUCAAGCUCACUCUUUUGAAUGUUUCUAAAAUAUCCGUCCUAUGUCAUUUCAAUUUUCUCAAUAAAUGAGUUCAGUGAUCCACGACAAAU